GGAAGGCCCAAAUGGGCCAAAGAGCUGGCCAAACAGGCUGGUUCAGGCUGCAUUGAGGCCGUCGGGGGAAGGGGGAACCUCCACGGACAGCCCCCCCACCACCUCAAGGAACUCCCCCAAAGGGAGUAAAAGCAAUUUGAGGUUGGACUGUGUAAGUCUGUCGGAACCCAAAUCUCUGACUUUAUCCACAACUCUACACACUUCUCUCCUGUAAGUUUAUGAUGGCAUGGCAAGCUGGAUUUUCCAUGUGCAUCAGGUAACAGAACACCGUUAUCUGUGAGAAGUUGCUGUAAGAAGCCCUCAUUCAAUAGUGGACACUUUUACUUCCAAGCUUACAAGUUCACUGUGGAAACCACCAAGGUAACACAGAUGUCUCCUGCAACAAUCAUA